rnacentral:rRNA from 1 species
CCUACGGGUGGCAGCAGUGAGGAAUAUUGGUCAAUGGACGAGAGUCUGAACCAGCCAAGUAGCGUGAAGGAUGACUGCCCUAUGGGUUGUAAACUUCUUUUAUAUGGGAAUAAAAUGUUCCACGUGUGGGAUUUUGUAUGUACCAUAUGAAUAAGGAUCGGCUAACUCCGUGCCAGCAGCCGCGGUAAUACGGAGGCUCCGAGCGUUAUCCGGAUUUAUUGGGUUUAAAGGGAGCGUAGGUGGAUUGUUAAGUCAGUUGUGAAAGUUUGCGGCUCAACCGUAAAAUUGCAGUUGAAACUGGCAGUCUUGAGUACAGUAGAGGUGGGCGGAAUUCGUGGUGUAGCGGUGAAAUGCUGAGAUAUCACGAAGAACUCCGAUUGCGAAGGCAGUUCACUGGACUGCAACUGACACUGAGGCUCGAAAGUGUGGGUAUCAAACAGGAUUAGAUACCCCAGUAGUC